GGUACUCCAGGACCAGCAGGAGUCCCAGGACCAGCAGGACCGAAAGGAGAGAGGGGAAAUAAGGGAGAUUCUGGUUCUACAGGACCAAUAGGACCAGCAGGCCUUCCCGGCUUUCAAGGACCAUCAGGUGAAAAAGGAAAUCGGGGGGAAAGGGGCAAGAAAGGCUCUAGGGGGCCUAAAGGGGAUAAGGGAGACCAAGGAGCACCUGGAUUAGACGCACCCUGUCCAUUGGGGGAAGAUGGGUUGCCAAUUCAAGGAUGCUGGAAUAAGUGAAUAUUCUAACCAUGGACUGGCCUGUGUGUCUGUUUGUAUGUUUGUGCAUAGGAUAUUUAUUUUUAUACAUCGUUCUUUUUUGAAAGUGCCAACAGAUUAUGCAUAAAAAGCUGCAUAUUUUUGUACAUAAAAUGCUCCAAUUCUGCUUUAUAGCUGUCUGCCAGUUGCUUGUAUAAUUAUAUAUAUGUUGAUAACUGUGCUUCUUGCAUUGUGGAAUACAGCUGCUAUAUUUGCAUGAUAUUUGUGCACUCAAAGUAAGUGCUACAGCUUAAUAAGCUAUUGGAUAAAGAUGUCAGAAAGAACCAUUCUAUGUACAUAUAAAGACAAAAAAAAUGACAAUGAGUGCAAGGACGUAUUAAAAUACUAUAGAUUUUUAUUAUUAAAAGGAAAUGAAAUGAAAUAGCAUUUGUAAAUAAAUUCUAUAUUGGUAUUUUAAUGUGCCAAAUGAAAUCAAUGUAGUAAGAGGUAACAGUGGCAAUUCAUCUUCUCUUUCACUACACGCAAAGGGAGGAAGCGCAACAUUGUUCAAAACUGAAAAUAACAAAGCAGUUGUAUGUAUACCCCCCAAAAAGGUAGCUAAUGUUUUUAAUGAGUGAAGACCAAGUUGAUUUUUUUUUCCAUCAGAUUCUGGUCAUUGAUCAGAAGCACAAUUUUUGAUGCAAAAUUAUGGAGAUCUAAAUAUCGUUCUGAUCAUUUAGCAAACAAUGAGAAUUUCUAGCUUUUGUACAUAGCUUUUCAAGAGAUUCAGAAGCUGCAUAGAAUAAGCCUUCAGAAGCAAAGUCUAUCAGGAAUGACUCUGGUUCUGUGCUCCCUCCUCCAUAAAUUCAUUAGACCCAGUUUUCCAAUAUCCUUGUGCCACUAGGUCCAUUUAAUGCUCUGAUGAGGGAAAUUUUUAAGGGCAACAAUGCAGAAAAAAGAAGCCAAAAGAGACCCUUUUUUCAGAGCUGGAGAUUUUUGUAAGAAAAUGAAAGAGAAUUGGUAAAGAGUUUGUGCAGGAUACAUUGCUGUUCUCCCUGCCUCAUAAUCUCAACAUCAAGCUAAACAGAAUUAGGAAGACUGUAAUAAUGGGUUAUGAUUACCAUUAUUAGGAGCUGUGGUAGCACAGUGGUUAGAAUGCAGUAUUGCAGGCUGACUCUGCCCACUGUCAGGAAUUCGAUCCUGACCGGCUCAAGAUUGACUCAGCUUUUCAUCGUUCCGAGAUCAGUAAAAUGAGGACCCAGAUUGUUGGGGGAAAUGUGCUGACUCUGUAAACCAUUUAUAGAGGGCGGUAAACACUAUGAAGUGGUAUAUAAGUCUAAGUACUAUUGGUAUUGCAAUUACAAUUGGUGUAUUUGCUGCCACUCACACUUCUUAUAUUUGUUUGAUGGGAUUUUAACAUAGUAUUUUUCAACAAAGGCUGGCAAAUAAUAUUGAUUUUGCAGACCCCUGAGAGACUCUUGGGGAAGCCCCAGAGCUCCCCAGACCACACUUUGAGAAGCCCUGGUCUAUAUUCUGUUAGACUGGAUGUGGGUAGAUGCAUCUGCAAAAUCAAUAUUAUUUGCCAGCCUUCAUUUGACACAAGAUGCCCUGUACUUAUGGUGUCACUUACUGAUUUGAGCAAUGAACUGUAGGAAAAUUUCAAAUAUGCCAGCGGUAAGUGACAGUUAUUUUUUUAAAGUAUGGUACAGAUGAAAAUGGCAACUAGAAUUGGGUGCUAGCAGUGUAAGCCAAAUACUAAACUUGCAGCUAGAAAGGGCAAUUACGGAUCACAUUGCAGCAUAGAUGUAAUUUUAAGGGACAUUUUUGCCUAGUAUUUAUGCAAAUAUAAGCAGCACUUUUAUUACAUUCUAUGAGACAUUUCUAUGUAAAAUAAUUACAUCUGUCCCUUAAAGGGUCAAACUCCUUGGCUGAUAGCAAAAUAAUGAGACAAGUAAGAGAGUGCAGAUAAUUUGUGGAAGGUCUGCGGCGAUGACCGAAGAACCUCUUGCUCAAAGAUUUGCUGAAGAUGUUGCAUUACCACCAACGAGCACCGAAAUGUUCUUGAGUCAUGCACAUCGGAGUUUUGUUCCUGAAUGGCAGGCCUGGUGAGGCUACAGAAGAUGGACUGAGUGUGCGGGUUUUUGCUCUCUCCUUUCAGAGUCAGCACAAAGUUGAUCAGGAAGAAAUUGGCUUCUGUUUCCUACUUUUUCCUUUUCAGUUUGGUCUGUUAUCAUGAUGGAAGCCUUCAGCGAAGAUCUCAACCACGUUGUCUAACAUGGUGUGAAAUGUAUUAGGACAUAGGCAACAGUUCUAUGACUGCUGGAUUUUUUUUAAAGGACUUUCUGUUUGUCUAGAUGAUAAACAGAAUCUAGAUUUUGAAUAGUCCAGUGAAAAUACAACCAGUUCAUCAUUUUCUGCUUGCCAGUUGAUGAACAUUCACGUACUGUAUUCAGAUUUGAUGAUUCCCUCAAUACUUUCACAGAUUCUCUUCAAAAGCAGAUGAAUUAUUUCUUCCAGAAAGUUAUUUCUUUUCAGUGUAGUAGAAGAUCAUUUUCAUUUAGCAUUAUUUUCAUUGUUUUAGUAAUUUUUGGACUUGUAUUUUUUGUAUUAGAAACAUAUGGCUUGACGUUUGUCCUGAUAAUAUAUUAUAUAGAUUUUUUUCAACACAACUGUCCCAGUACUAAAACUUAGAGAUUACUGCUUUUAUAAUACUUCUAAUACUUGUCUAUGGGGAAAAAUAGCCAAAAAAGUAUAACACUUCACCUUUGAUUCUAUUAUUGAAGAUUUUUAGUAAAUUAUUUUUAUACAGUUCUGCAGAAACAGUAAACAUUUGCAAUACAGUUGCAGUAUUUCAUAAUUUAUCAAUGUAUACUUAUCCCUUGGUUUGUAUGCAUUAAAUUUAAAAAGAACGAGAUGAGAUAUUCUGACUUCUGGAAUGUCUUCUGUUGUGAAGACAUGUGCAAACAACCCAUUUUGUUUCUCUGAUUUUUUAAUUUUUUUCCUGUAGUUUAUUAGAUUUAUAACUCUUAGUGAAAUUUCAGUCCAACCAUACAAUCCAGCAUCUUGUACAACAACUUGCUGGCACAGAGUAGUCUUCCGAAUUUUUGAAAUUGAUCCAUACAUGAACUCUAUAGGCCUACUGAAGGAUUGGCAAAUCUCUGGAUUAAUAACUUUGAACAUUUAAAAAAGAGUGAUGAUAAAUGAAAUAGAAAUGCUUAUUGGAGCUAACGUCCUUUCCUUGAAUAAUAAUUAAGACAAAGGCUUUCUUACUUUCUGAUAUAGUUCCCUCCAAAUUCUUAAAAUUUUAUUUCUGAAUAUUGGAGGGAAUUUAUAAGAUAUUCAUUGAGAAUCCUAAGGGUAAUGGCAUUCUCUUAAUGAAUGGAAACACAUACAAAAUCCAACGCAUCCUUUUGUGAUUCAUUUUCAAAGUACAAGAUUCUGAACUUUUCUAUUCUGUUUAGUGAAGCUGUAGAAGAGUUUUAAAAUAGGAGGAAUAAAUUGUAAAAAUUAGUUUAAUGUAAAACCUAAUUGUUACUCAGUACCACCAAGUUGUCACUUUUGUAGCUUUAUCUUAGAGCAAAAUCAAUACCAAAUCAAAAUGAUCCAAGAUUUUUAAUGCUAUUUUUCAUUCAUGUAUAUUAUUGAAUUACAUCUAAUUCCUAAAUAUACUGAUCACUAAGCAAUGCAUAGUUAUAAUUAAAUGCCAUCAAAAUCAACAGUUUGAGCAUGAAUAUACUACACCAGCCAUAAUUCAGAACUUUUGUCAGAUACCAUAGUAAGGACAUUUAUUCAGUGUUGUAGUCAGUUCUCCAUAGAGAUCUAAAACAACCUUUUCAGUUUCAGAGAAGCUGCUGUCUCGCACAAAGCAAGCAAAACUGAUGUUGUAUUUACAAAAAUGGAAUUGAUGCAAGUUUUAGAUUUCUCAUUGUAUUUCUGUAGACUUGUUUAUCUGCAUCUGUGUGCAGAGAAAAAAAAUGUGACCAGAACUGCAGGGCGGUGUGCCUUUUUUUAUUAUGUAAGAAAUAUAUAUAUGAGUUCACUUGUGUUAAGUUAGCAAUGACCUAUCUUAUUAUUCAUUAUGUAGUAUUAGAUUUCUCUUUUUCUUAAGCUAUAUUUUUAGUCAUUUCACUUUAAGGCUUUCUGCAAUGCAUACUGUAACUGUUCCUAAUUCUAUUGUUUCUAAAUAAUGGUUUUAUUUCCUUCCAAAUUACUAUAUAAUGUUGGUGCUUUUUUUUUUCUGAGAGACUAAUGUUCAGUUGACAAUUUAUUUUCCACAAACUAUCCUGGGGACCAAACAACCAUAGAUUCCCUAACUAACUAAUUCUAACAAUGUAGGUCCAGUCUUCCACAAUCUGGUGUGCUCCAGUUGACACACUUCAAGAUCUAUCAUCCUUAGCCAGCACAGCCAAGGGGAACUGAAAUCCAAUACAUCUGGAAAACACCAGGCUGAAGAAAGCUAAUAAAACUACAAGGAUGCAUAAUAAAAGUAAUGCAGUGCAGCUAAAGCUAUAUAAAUAAGAGGAUGCAUAUUCAAGUGUAGAUAUAAUCUGUAUAUUUUUCAAUUACAUGUGCAUCGCAUGGAAGUGAUUCAUCUGCCCUCUCCUUUCAUUUUAGUUGUUGGCUAUCAUUGUGUACAACUAUGGCUAAACUGCAUAAUUUAUAGGUUUUUUUUAAAAAAAAGUUUAGGGACCAGGAGAGUUAAAGAAAUUUUUUAUUCAGGCAGAAGGUGGGCUUGGAAUCCAUUGUUAUUGAGAAGAAUGAGUGGCUAGUGCUAAUUCAAAGCUUUGAAAUGGUAGCUGAAAUGGAAAAUUUCCAUGCUGCCUUUUUUGCCUAAUCCACCCAAACGUUGUCAAUAUUUAAACUUUUUAAUAUGUGUUCAUAAGGGAUGCUGAUGGCCCAGUAUUUUCUACCACUUUGGUCAUAUUGGCUGGGAGUUCAGCAUGCCUCAAAUUAAAUUUUAGCAACAUCUGGCAAAUCCAGAUUACAAAAACAAUUACUGGAUUUCAAUAAAGUUUUUAGGGCAUUUUGAUUGCUUGCAUAUUGAAGUUAGGCUGCAGUAUUUCAAAUCUAAAUAAGGAAAGUCUAGCUCAACUUUAGACCCGAUUACAUGGAACUGGACACAGUAGUUGUUGUUACAUGCUGUAAUUUUCUUGUUGUGGUUAUCAUGUAAUUUAAAAAUUAGACAUUAAUGGAAAUUAUAAGGAAAAGCCACAAAACCCAUAAAUAUCUCUUCCAUCAUGCAAAAUUCUCAGUGAGUACAUUAAGCAAUGCAAGAUAGUGCUGAAAAAUUUCCUGCCCAUUUAUCUGAAAAUAUCUUGCUUCAACCUGUUUUUUAUUCCUCUGGUGAAUGUGCCAUUAUUCUUGUGUUACUUUUGCUGCUUAGCCACCCUUUUUUUUCAAUAAAUCCAUAUAUUUUCACAAUAUAUAUCUAAUCCCUGCUCAAAUAUAUUACACACAUAUAGACACACACAAACCAACAAAAUUCCCAAAGAACAAUUUUCUGAAUGAAGUUCUAAAAAGAGAAAUGAAAUCUUGCCUGCUAAAUGAUUUUGAACUAUGAAAUUGAUGUGAAUCUACUGCUUCUUAUCUUACCCACUCAAGGACGGUUUUAUCUCUCAGGCUACUUCUCUAUCAGAAAAGUGAAAUUGAAUCUGGAGGUAUUUUUCCAACUAUCCAAACUUUUCUGCAAUUAUGAGAAACAUUACAUUACCUCCCAUUACAGCAAUGUGAACUCUUAAGCAAACAUUAGCAAUUAUUUUCCUUUAUCAGAACAACAGUUGGCAUGCAAAAGUACUUGGCACAAUUUCUAUAGGUAAAAAUCGUAAAAAGAGAAAUUGACUUGAUCCAAAUAUUAAUAGUUACCCAAUACUCACUUAUUAAAUCUGCCCCCAAACAGGAGCACGCAUGUAAGAAAUCUAUGACAUGAUUUUCAGGUCUAAAUUUCCCAAUGUGCAUAUUUAAUGUGAAGAAAAUACAUAAUGUCAGUGAUUUAUAUAGCCGAAAAUCACUCACAAAAAGUAUGUGUGCUAAGGAAAGUAUUAAUUCCACAUUUGUGAUUCAUAUAUGAAUAAGUAAAAUGCACACAAAUGCUUACGAGAUUUCAUGUAAAUUUUUUCCUGCAAGUUCAUGGUUGUGGAAAUGGGCAUGGUAAAAUGACUCAAAAAUAGGAAUUUGAGAAAACCCAAAGGCACUGAAAAAUCUUUUGAAUUACACUGAAAGUCUGUAUUACCUGAACUAAGGUGUAUUGAAGAUUGCCCAUUCCUGUCAAUCUGCCUUGUUUCUUUGCUUUUUCAUUCCAUGUACACCAUCCCAUAAGAAAUAAAAUCAUUCUGACAGCAUAAAAUGGAAAUAUUAAUUUUGAUUCAAUUUUACGGGAAAUGCUACUGUGUCCUGGGAAUGCAAAUCAAUACAUCAUUACUAAUCUUUACAGAUAAUAGGUAGCAAUGAUAGGUAUGUGUGUGUGUGUGUGUGUGUGUUUUGAUGCACCCUGUCGGCCCAAAUAUGGGAGAAAAAUCUUCUUUCUUUUUCUUUU